UGGGGAAUAUUGCACAAUGGGCGCAAGCCUGAUGCAGCCAUGUCGCGUGUAUGAAGAAGGCCUUUGGGUUGUAAAGUACUUUUAGCGGGGAGGAAGGGAGUAAAGUUAAUACCUUUGCUCAUGGACGUUACCCGCAGAAGAAGCACCGGCUAACUCCGUGCCAGCAGCCGCGGUAAUACGGAGGGUGCAAGUGUUAAUCGGAAUUACUGGGCGUAAAGCGCACGCAGGCGGUUUGUUAAGUCAGAUGUAAAAUCCCCGGGCUCAACCUGGGAACUGCAUCUGAUACUGGCAAGCUUGAGUCUCGUAGAGGGGGGUAGAAUUCCAGGUGUAGCGGUGAAAUGCGUAGAGAUCUGGAGGAAUACCGGUGGCGAAGGCGGCCCCCUGGACGAAGACUGACGCUCAGGUGCGAAAGCGUGGGGAGCAAACAGG
rnacentral:rRNA from 1 species